rnacentral:rRNA from 1 species
AGUCGAACGGCAGCGCGUCCUUCGGGAUGGCGGCGAGUGGCGAACGGGUGAGUAAUACAUCGGAACGUGCCCGAGAGUGGGGGAUAACGAGGCGAAAGCUUUGCUAAUACCGCAUACGAUCUCAGGAUGAAAGCAGGGGACCGCAAGGCCUUGCGCUAACGGAGCGGCCGAUGGCAGAUUAGGUAGUUGGUGGGAUAAAAGCUUACCAAGCCGACGAUCUGUAGCUGGUCUGAGAGGAUGAUCAGCCACACUGGGACUGAGACACGGCCCAGACUCCUACGGGAGGCAGCAGUAGGGAAUUUUGGACAAUGGGGGCAACCCUGAUCCAGCCAUGCCGCGUGCAGGAUGAAGGCCUUCGGGUUGUAAACUGCUUUUGUACGGAACGAAAAGGCUCUUUCUAAUAAAUGGGGCUCAUGACGGUACCGUAAGAAUAAGCACCGGCUAACUACGUGCCAGCAGCCGCGGUAAUACGUAGGGUGCGAGCGUUAAUCGGAAUUACUGGGCGUAAAGCGUGCGCAGGCGGUUUUGUAAGACAGAGGUGAAAUCCCCGGGCUCAACCUGGGAACUGCCUUUGUGACUGCAAGGCUGGAGUGCGGCAGAGGGGGAUGGAAUUCCGCGUGUAGC